GACGACGCCCUAGCUCCCUCCGCCCGCGGGUCGCCCGCUCCCUCGCGCCCCUGUUGCUCCCUCCUCGAUCCCGAUCUGGAUCGAGGGGACGAGGAGCUCCUGCCUCCCCGACGGCCGACCUCCUCCUCGCCCCGCCGCUGCGUCCGGCGCCGCCACGGCCUCUGGAGCCAGGGAAGCCAUGGCCUGAGCUCGGCCUCGAGGUCCCCGCCGCCGUCUCCUGCAGCUUCUGCCCCGCCGCCUCACCGCCCGAGCUCGCCGUCGCACCAACCUCGGCGCCGCGCCGCCGCCGGCUCUGGUCGCCUCCACCUCCGCGCCAUGAGGAACCCGCCACACGCGUCAAGGCGAGGCGCCUCCUGGGCUCCGUCCGUUUCCAGAGCGAGCGCCCGCGAAUACCUAGCUAGCCGCCGCCGUCGUGACCGUUCCAGCCACCGCCAAGGCCACACUUCCUCUUCCACCUCCGCGUACUCCUGGUUGCAGCCCCAGCUCUUCACGGGCAGGGAUCUGCGGCUCGCCGGCGUGGCCCGUGGCAGGGGAGAGAAGGGGGGCAUGAUCGGCGGGGCAGAGUUCUUUCGGAAGGACAGCGUGGUGGGCAACAUGGACGGAUACCUCAACUACCUGUCCCUCGAGUAUGACUUCGUCUCGGACACCAAUCCUGCUUGGGUAUCUUCAUUUUGGAAGCAGGAAUCCUUUCCUCAUAAGAUGGAUGAGCUGUAG
rnacentral:rRNA from 1 species